GCGGGUGUAGCUCAAUGGUAGAGCAGCAGCUUCCCAAGCUGAAUACGAGGGUUCGAUUCCCUUCACCCGCUCCC
rnacentral:tRNA from 3 species